CGCCUGGCGCCCAGGCCCGGGGGGUUCUGACCAGAUGUCUAACUUUAGCUCUGGGCCCUCAAGGCUGAAUCGGCAGGGCCUGACGGGAAAGGCCUGGAGGUCCAACCAGAGAGGGCACCCAGGAAGUAAGGGGCUGUGGGUGGGGGAGCGUGCAUACAGAGGCGGCCAGGGAGUGAGGGGUCCUUGCUCUCUUCCCCGCUGAGGGGAGGAAACUCCGGAGGUUGGAUGUGCAGUGGGAGCGCACGCCAGAAAGGACUGGAAGUGGAACCGCAAUGGGAGGGUGGCUCUCUGAAGCUUCGGCUGCCCAGCGUGUGCCCUGCCCCGACCCCUGAGGCCACAGUCAUAGUCGGUUCUGGUUCUGCCUCUCAAACUGGAAGCUGCGUUUCCCCACCACGUCUUCCUUUCCUGGCGGGCUGAUUCCCCAACCCCCGGGAGUUUCAGCCUUCCCUGCUGCUGUCCCACUGUUAAGACGCUCUGAGUCCGAGCCUUGCGGUCUCCACGGGUUCGCAAGGUCAUACCAUUGCAGUCUGACAGGGGACCCUCUGUCAGAGGACAUUCUAUUGCUCUGCAGCUACAGAGAGACCCCGGCCUCCAAUGCCACCACCUGCGGAGACCAGCGGACAGGGCCAAAGACGGAACCUUAGGCCUUCACUGGAUGUGGCCCCCGGGGAAUGUGGAGACCUCAGGACCUCUUCAGGAAGCCACAGAAGUUUGACCUGUAUUUCAGGAAUCAGCAGCCUCUGCCGAAGGAAUCUGGGUCCUUUUUAAUUCCCAGGCCCCGUUGGAGACCCUAAGAGGGUGAAAGGGAAGUUUUGACUGCACUACCGCUUGACCCAGGACGAAGCAAUGGAUGAACAGAAGGUAUGUAAGAAAAACGAGGUCCUUUCCCUUGCUCUGACGUCUGUACAAUGAUCACAUUCUCCUACGGUGAAGGGGUGGAGGGGAGGCUAGGUCGGAGGCUAAUUCUGUGGACCAGAGGAUCCUCUCCCUGAGAUCAGGGACUGUAUAGCUUUUACUUAGGGGUUCAAGCAAAUGCUGUUGAGAGACAUCACUGAUGAAGCUGAUCAAGGGAGUGUUCCCAAUUCCGUAAUUUCUCUGCAGGAAGGACCAGUGUUACUAAUCUGAUCUGGACUCAAGAAGGAGUGCCGUGACCAGCGCGGGGGGGGGGGGGGGGGGGGGGCUGGGGAGGUACCUGAGUGGGGGCCACGGGAGAUUAGAAAGGACACAACACAGACGCUUUAAGGCAAAGCGGGGACCAGGUGGGACAUCGUCCUCUGAUGGGGAGACAAUGAGCCCUGAACAUGGUCUCCGCGUUUAUUUUAUAGGGGUUGGUUAGACAGAGCUCAAGGACGUUUUGCAAAUUUAGGGACACGCUGCAGGAACAGAUUGUCCCGUCCCCAGGCUAUCUAACUGAUAUAUGUGUUUUCUGCAAAAGUUCCAGCGCAUACAGCUGAAGCUUGCGACUAUGUAUUUCAUUCUCAACCCUCGCAGGUUCUGGCUGUGUCAGCUGCUGGCUUGAUCCGCCCUGCCAGGUGCAAGCAAGUCAAGUGCGGCUUUGUUAAG